rnacentral:rRNA from 1 species
AUGGUUUGCAGUGCCAGUGAUCCUUCAAUUAAUGAGCCAAGUCGUCCGGUUGUGGACCCUUCACUAUGCUUCUUGUUCAUAAUGGCUGUAGGAACUAUAGUCUGCUCCUCACUCUGGGGUGAAUUCGUUGCAUGCCAACCGAUUGAUGAGCGUUAUAAUCAGCUGACAUGGCAGCAGGGACCGAAUUCUGGGACAAACGACAGACAAGAUAAACAAAUCAUUGAAAUCACCGCAAAGAGAGCUAGUUUUCAAAUUGUAGGAUGUUCAGUUCUCCUUCUCCUGUUCUACUUCAUGUCGUCUUGGGUCGCCUGGCUACUCAUUGUAUUGUUCUGCAUUGGUGGUAUUCAAGGUAUGCAUGUUUGCUUGGUGACAAUUAUCUCUAGGAUUUAUAAGGAUUGGAGAAAUAAAACUGUACAAUUGCCGUUGUACGGGGAGGUCUUAACCUUGUCUCUUGGAGUGGCACCAUUCUGUACGGUAUUUGUCAUUCUAUGGGCUGCUUAUCGGCAUUCUUCGUUUGCUUGGAUAGGUCAAGACAUCCUUGGUAUCUGCUGGAUGAUAAACAUAAUUCAGAAGGAGCAUUUACCUAAUAUCAGGGUUGCAUCGGUUCUCCUUGGUGCUUCAUUUGUGUAUGACAUCUUCUGGGUCUUCAUUUCACCUCUUAUAUUCCAUGAGAGUGUUAUGUUUGCAGUUGCAAGUGGUGGCAGCUCAGGGGAAGUGAUUCCGAUGCUCCUAAGAAUACCUCGUUUCUUUGAUCCAUUGGGUGGAUACGCCAUGUUAGGCUUUGGUGAUAUUAUUUCCCCUGGACAGCUCAUCGCAUUCAGCUACAGAUUUGACAGGGCAGCCAAAAAAGGUAUCAUGAAUGGAUAUUUUUUAUGGCUGACCGUGGGAUAUGUUGUCGGCCUUUUCCUUGCCUGUCUUGGGAUCUUCCUAAUGGAUGGCCAUGGUCAACCAGCGAUGAUGUACCUAGUACCAUGCACCCUAGGUAAGCAUAUAAAUUGUUCCUUUGCAUCUACAUGGCCUAUGGCCCAUCUCAAAUAA